rnacentral:rRNA from 1 species
GACAGAGGUGCCUAGCGUUAGGCGGAAUCACUGGGCUUAAAGCGUGUGUAGGCGGACCGUUAAGUGUCUUAUGAAAUCCCCCGGCUCAACCGGGGAAUUGCUGGGCAUACUGGCGGUCUUGAGCAGUCUAGGGGCAGAUGGAACAAGUGGUGGAGCGGUGAAAUGCGUAGAUAUCACUUGGAACGCCAAAGGUGAAGACAGUCUGCUGGGGACUUACUGACGCUGAGGAGCGAAAGCGUGGGGAGCGAACAGG